rnacentral:rRNA from 1 species
ACUCAAAUGAAUUGACGGGGACCCGCACAAGCGGUGGAUUAUGUGGAUUAAUUCGAUGCAACGCGAAAAACCUUACCUACCCUUGACAUGUACCGAAGCCCGCUGAGAGGUGGGCGUGCCCGAAAGGGAGCGGUAACACAGGUGCUGCAUGGCUGUCGUCAGCUCGUGUCGUGAGAUGUUGGGUUAAGUCCCGCAACGAGCGCAACCCUUGUCAUUAAUUGCCAUCAUUCAGUUGGGCACUUUAAUGAAACUGCCGGUGACAAACCGGAGGAAGGUGGGGAUGACGUCAAGUCCUCAUGGCCCUUAUGGGUAGGGCUUCACACGUAAUACAAUGGCGCGUACAGAGGGUUGCCAACCCGCGAGGGGGAGCUAAUCUCAGAAAGCGCGUCGUAGUCCGGAUCGGAGUCUGCAACUCGACUCCGUGAAGUCGGAAUCGCUAGUAAUCGCGGAUCAGCAUGUCGCGGUGAAUACGUUCCCGGGUCUUGCACACACCGCCCGU